AUUGAACGCUAGCGGGAUGCCUAACACAUGCAAGUCGAACGGCGUGGGGAACGGGGGAGGAAGGUAUGGGAACGUGCCCAGUAGCGGGGGAAAACUACGCGAAAGCGUAGCCAAUACCGCAUACGUUGGGGGCGGUCUAUGUCGGAUUAGCUAGCUGGUGGGGUAACGGCUCACCAAGGCGACGAUCCGUAGCUGGUUUGAGAGGACGACCAGCCACACUGGGACUGAGACACGGCCCAGACUCCUACGGGAGGCAGCAGUGGGGAAUUUUGGACAAUGGGGGAAACCCUGAUCCAGCCAUCCCGCGUGUGCGAUGAAGGCCUUCGGGUUGUAAAGCACUUUUGGCAGGAAAGCGGUACCUGCAGAAUAAGCACCGGCUAACUACGUGCCAGCAGCCGCGGUAAUAC
rnacentral:rRNA from 1 species